GAAGCAAGCUGGGCAAUCGCCGGUGCUCGGUCGAAAGACUGCACGGGAGGAAAGUCCGAGCUCCGCAGGGCAGGGUGCCGGAUAACGUCCGGCGGGAGCAAUCCUAGGGACAGUGCCACAGAAAUGAGGACCGCCGAUGGUGUCGGCAAUGCCGGCAUACAGGCAAGGAUGCAACGGUGCGGUAAGAGCGCACCAGCAACCCGGGAACGGGUUGGCUAGGUAAACCCCACCUGGAGCAAGACCGGAUAGGAGUGCGCACGUGGUGGCCCGCCACGCACUCGGGUAGGUUGCUUGAGCCAAUUGGCAACAGUUGGCCUAGAUAGAUGAUUGCCACUCCGUUCGUGCGAGGCAGAC
rnacentral:RNase_P_RNA from 1 species